rnacentral:rRNA from 1 species
UACGUAGGGUGCGAGCGUUAAUCGGAAUUACUGGGCGUAAAGCGUGCGCAGGCGGUUCGUUAAGUCAGAUGUGAAAGCCCGGGCUCAACCUGGGAACUGCAUUUGAAACUGGCGGCUUGAGUAUGGCAGAGGGGUGGAAUUCCGUGUGUAGCAGUGAAAUGCGUAGAGAUGCGGAGGAACACCGAUGGCGAAGGCAGCCCCUGGGCCAAUACUGACGCUCAGGCACGAAAGCGUGGGAGCAAACAGG